UAAUGUAAAUACCUAGUUUCUUCUUUCAUUUCGUCCCGAUCCUCUGGAUCCCUUUUUCCACUGCCGACCUCAACACACGACUCUGCCCGAUGCCACCGCCAGAUCGCGCCGGUGCUGCUUGAUCCAACACUGGCCUUUGUGAGAAUAGUUGUGCCCAUUUUAGGGAAUCAUCGCCAAUCUCACAUUCAUCGAUGAUCCCUUUUCUUUCUCCCAAACCCCAGGCAUCUCUGAUCUAUCGGCACUCCCUUCUCUGGAUGAGGCAGGCUCUGUAAUGUCACAGGCGGCUGUCGUCGGGGAAGUAGAAGUCGUCCCCUCUUCGUGUGAGGCUAGCUUGACCUCCAUAGGACACCGCCAAUACAAGAGCCGGCGCCGCUGCCCCUUUUUGUCACAUACUCUGAGCCGCAAGCAUAGGGCCAUCGCUGCCUGACCAUCUCUGGCCAUGUGCGAGAGCAUUGAUCUCUAUGUGCGUUGUUGUUUCCUUGGUCAGUGCUGAGCCACCUGUCCAGCGCCGCCUCUCAUUUGCUCUGGCGAGGUUGCUAUUGUUGGAAGAACCCUCGCUGACUUCUCUCUUCAUUCGUGAUUGGCUGUUGAACAUGGUGAACCACAGCUGUUGGCCGUGAGCCGCCAUCGAUCGUCAUCAGACUAGGUAAAAAUUAGGGUUAAAUUCUCAGAUGAGGAUAGCGGUGAGUGAAUUGGGGUUAAUUAAUUGAAUUGAUGAUUUGAAUCAAUUAGUGCUUCCCUAGUCAGUUGAAGCUUUGACUUAGCUAUUUGGUCCAUGGUAGAACUUAGCUAUGAUCUGUAUUCUGUGAUAUAGCCUUCUAAAACGAGACUAUCACUCUGAUGUGAGGAUAGUUUAAGCAACAACCUACCUUGAAGGCGGACACUUCUUGACUUGUUUCUUUAGAUUUUUGACCUUGCACUAAUUUAUUUAUUGAUUUGGCAGUACUGAUUUACUUA